rnacentral:lncRNA from 13 species
UUUUAAACAUGUUAUUAAUUUGGAGAUAUAACUUUGUAACUGAGAAAAGGAUACACUAAACGAUUAAACUGAAAAAGAUACUGUUUGGUUAAGACAAGCCUUUGCAUUAUAAGAGAGGUAGAGAAAAAACAAUAGGGGGGGCAAAGAUCUGUUUUGUUUUUCCAGUUUAGAGUGUGCACUCUUUUCAGAGAUAAGUGAAGCUUCUCCAGGAAAUGUUAUAUCUACUGGUAUUUUUAAAAAAGGCAUGCACCCAAAAAAGUUGAACAAAGUUAUGGCUGCCAGCAUUGGAAAAAAAUAACAGCACAAAAAUGCUUUUUUUGGUGGUGUGUUUUCUCUGGUGCCAUGUUUGCACAUGGCUUUCCUUGUUGCCACAAAGUCUGAGCCCCUGUGAGUAGUGCCACAAGGCACAGAGGUUCCAGGGCCUGGGAGGUCCUUGGGAAGAGCUCUUUUCAACUUUUGCUGAAUUGCUCUGGGUGGGCCACAAGUCAUUCUUCACUGUUUGGCUGCAAGAGCCUUACCACAGCAAAUGGAGGGGAGGGGGGCAGGAAAGACACUUCCCAGCAACAACAUGAUUCUGUUCCACUCACUCUCCCAACCUCCCAGUCUGGCAAGAUGCUCUGGGGAUGGGAGCAUGGAGCAUUUGGGCUUGUUCGUGGGAAACUUGCUGGGCUCUGAAUCUGCAGUGCUGGCCUGAAUGUGAACGUGCCCACAGCAGCAGGCUGGCCUGUCCUCACUCCAGCAGGAAAUGGCCCCAACGCCAGAGGACUCUGCUGGAGUCUGCUGUGGUUGGACUUCAGUCGAGAGAAAGGAAUCCAGCUCUGCUGUGCCUGUUCUCAAGUCCCAUCUCCAGGAAUACCUCCUGCCCUUGCCAAAUGAGGAAGAGAACAACAUCUGCAGCAGAGACAAAUGUCAACAGCUGAGACGACCUCCCUUGACUUUGAAGAAGUCAAACAUCUUGGCUCUGAGGAAGGCAAACAUCUCCUAAGUCUCUAAUGAAGCCCAUUACUUCCUUGAUGAAAAGGGAAAUAUUACUGGUGUCAGUCUCCUGGAGCUGUGGAUGGAUAAAAGUGCAGCAUCACAGGUUAUAAAAUUAUUUUGAAACUUCGCUUAUUAGUCCAGCCUCUUCUCCUGGCCUAGACACCUAUCUUGUCUUGAAAUCUCCUGGUUAAAAUCCUUAUAAACAUCUUAUUUUCCACCAUAAAAAAGAAAUGGAUAUUGUGAGGUUUAUUUUGAAGUUGAAAUACUAUCAUCAUUCCCAGCUCAGGAAAAAACAUGUAUGGGAAUAAUGGAGUGUAGGUGCAUUCAACUGUCUGAAGCCAAG